rnacentral:rRNA from 1 species
UUGAACGCUGGCGGCAUGCCUUACACAUGCAAGUCGAACGGCAGCACGGGAGCAAUCCUGGUGGCGAGUGGCGAACGGGUGAGUAAUAUAUCGGAACGUGCCCGGUCGUGGGGGAUAACGUAGCGAAAGCUACGCUAAUACCGCAUACGAUCUACGGAUGAAANCGGGGGAUCGCAAGACCUCGCGCGAUUGGAGCGGCCGAUAUCAGAUUAGGUAGUUGGUGAGGUAAAGGCUCACCAAGCCGACGAUCUGUAGCUGGUCUGAGAGGACGACCAGCCACACUGGGACUGAGACACGGCCCAGACUCCUACGGGAGGCAGCAGUGGGGAAUUUUGGACAAUGGGCGCAAGCCUGAUCCAGCAAUGCCGCGUGCAGGAUGAAGGCCUUCGGGUUGUAAACUGCUUUGUACGGAACGAAACGGUGAGCUCUAAUACAGUUUGCUAAUGACGGUACCGUAAGAAUAAGCACCGGCUAACUACGUG